GUGAGUUCAAGGCCAGCCUGCUCA
rnacentral:piRNA from 1 species